UACGUAGGGCGCAAGCGUUGUCCGGACUCAUUGGGCGUAAAGCGCGCGUAGGUGGCCUCAUAAGUCCGCUGUGAAAGUCAAAGGCUCAACCUUUGAAAGCCGGUGGAUACUGUGAGGCUAGAGUACGGAAGAGGCGAGUGGAAUUCCUGGUGUAGCGGUGGAAUGCGCAGAUAUCAGGAGGAACACCAAUAGCGAAGGCAGCUCGCUGGGACGUUACUGACACUGAGGCGCGAAAGCGUGGGGAGCGAACAGG
rnacentral:rRNA from 1 species